rnacentral:lncRNA from 1 species
UAAAAAUGAUAUGAUAACAUUAUUCUUUUUGCUUGUUCAUAAAGGUAUUUUGAUGUCGUAGUAUUGCCAGUAUAAAGUAAAGAGGAGUGCAUGAAGAUAGUAUAGCCGUACAGGAGUAUAUUCUGAAUCGAGUAGGGUUUGUACGAAAGUUGUUCCUUCUUUUAUACAGUCUCAUAUGUAAGCUUUCUUCUGGUCCACAAAUGGAGAACAAACAAGGUUCCCACUUCCAUUUGUCA